rnacentral:rRNA from 1 species
AACGUAGGAGACGAACGUUAUCCGGAGUUACUGGGCGUAAAGGGCGUGUAGGCGGUUUGUUAAGUCUGGCGUGAAAGCUCUCGGCUAAACCGGGAGAGGUCGUUGGAUACUGGCGAACUUGAGGAUGGUAGAGGCGUGUGGAAUUCCGGGUGUAGUGGUGAAAUGCGUAGAGAUCCGGAGGAACACCAGUGGCGAAGGCGGCUCUCUGGACCGGUACUGACGCUGAGGCGCGAAAGCUAGGGGAGCAAACGGG